GGGAAGUGAUGGCACUGGGAAUUCUACAGCCACGAGUGCUGCCUGUGCAGGGCAGGGACGCAGGAGGGUGGCACAGGGCAUGGAUCUCAUGGAGCUUUGUGUUUUUUCCCCUCUCCUUAGUGCGUGUUCAUGAGUGGGAGCAUGGGAGGAAGGCGAGCGCUGCUGCGCACCAAGGUCAUGGGAGAAGAGAGAGUACAUGGAAGGAAAAAGGCAGAACACAGGAGCAGCUCUACUGACCACUCACCGAGAAAACUGGAACACCUCUUACCACACCAACUGUUGGUGAUGAUAAGGCAAGAUGUUACCAACAAAGAUGAAUUCCUACAGCUGAGCACAGCCUGUACUUACCCAUCCCACCCCCUGCAGCACAGAUUUUGUCUCUGAUGGCAGCAGGAGGUGACAUGGGGGGCAGGGCAGCGGUGAGCCCUUCCCUGCAUCACUGCUGAAGAACGCCAGCAGCACCUCUGUGUGCUGAGCAUGGCAGGUGUCCAGCACUGACAAACACCGUGCCAUUACCAGCUGUCCUGUCGCUGACAUGGCAGGCACUUCUUCAUUUUUUAAGGCGUGGAUUUCUGCCUAGACCUGCUGUACCUGUUCAGGUGCUGAAGUACCAUUAUCUAAUGAUAUACCCUGGGCUGUUUGCAGUGUUUUAUUUGUUUUUGUUUUAACUUGAAGUUAUGGAGAGCUGCCCUUUGAGCUGUCCUCAGCCUCCUGCUGAUUCGUGCAGUGAAGGGAAUUUCAGCUCUGGGCCACGUGGCACCAAGAGAGCACCUGCAAUUAAUAACACUGCAUUCAGAAACCUGCAUGGAAUAACGAGCACUCGGAUGUCUUGUGCUCUAACCCCCCACCUUUCACAGGAUGCAAUGAAAAUUACUCUGAAUGCCUCACCAGCAGCUGCAACAUGUGCUAAACCAACCAGCUGCUGGCUGGUCCCCUUCCUUGCUCUGAACGUUGUGUAAAAAUGCUAAUAACCCCACCUAUUCUUCAGAGUAAAACCUCACGCAUUUACACUCUUACUCAAUUGCCUCCAAGGCAACUGCACACACGUGGGCACGGCUUGCAGGUGCUUCCCAGCAUGGUGCCAGAGAGCCAGCAGCAGCACUGGCACAAGCUGGAGCAUUUUGGUUUAGCCGUGUGCUGCAUCCCACUGCACUGACAGCUGCUAUUUGCUCAAGCUGUUUUCCUUAAUGAGGGUUCCCCUGUUGAAGACUGAUGAAUUGGAAGCCUUUUCUUCAAUGACAUUCAAGGUAAAUCCCUCUUAAGCAGCAUCAGUCCAUCACAGGGGAGCACCAAAUCCUGUCUCACACAGCUCCUACAGUGAAACCUACCAAUGCAACAUUGUCCUGGGCAAAGGAGAAACGGUUUCUGGAUGCAAAAACAGCAAUUGUAUCACCUUUUGCCAGUCAAGAUUUAUUAUAUUAUCUAUUGAUAAUAUAUUGAUAAUAUAUAUCGAUUAUUAUUGAUAUUAUAUAUCAAUAAUUGAUAUUAUAUAUCAAGCUAUCAAAGGACCUUAUUUCCUGAGAAACAGCUCCAGCAGUCUGCAUGUACAAGGAAAACUGAAUCCAAAUAGUUCAGAAAUCUUUGCUACUCCUACAAAUCAUGUUUCAGAACACCUUGUAAUAAAUCAAAAAACCUUUAUUUUUAAGUUAUAAUAUAAAUUUACAGCACACAUAACAUCAGUGUCUUUAGUGUGUAUGUGUGAGCAGGCUUAAAGACUCAGCAUUCAUUCUAGUCUUGCUCAUGGGUAUGACUUCUCCACAUGCUAAAGGUACAUAACUGUUCCAAUCUGAACAGGUCUGGCUUAGCUAAUGACCUCAAUAACCUCUAGGAAAAUAUUUCAAUAGACAACAGCAAAUGUUUAGAAGAAAAACAAGUCAGUAGCACUUCUUACUUGCUGCCUGAAGGGCUCUGUAUUGAAGCAAAGCCUGCUGCUGGGCUCCCCAGCCAGGGAGAAGUCAGUGACCCACAUCAGCGUGUCCAGAAUGAACCCUGAAUUCCACA